rnacentral:misc_RNA from 1 species
GAAACGCGAAAGGUAAUGCGAAUUGCAGAAUCAGUGAGUCAUCGAAUCUUUGAACGCACAUUGCGCCUCUCGGUAUUCCGGGAGGCACGCCUGUUCGAGCGCCAUUACACACUCCAAGCGAAGCUUGAUGUUGGGCGAUGCGGUCCCCUGGGAUCGCACGUCUGGAACGCGUGGGCGCCCGUCGCCGGGACGUGAACGUAGCAAGACGUUAGUCAAAAUCGUUCAGUAAGUUCUGACGGAGGGCAGCCUCAUCUCUUUCUUUAUGAAAUUUGGCCUCGGAUCAGGCGGGGAUACCCGCUGAACUUAA